CUCUGUCCCUUAAUAAAGGGCGACCAGUGGUUGCUGGCAUUCCAGGGGGCAGUUCAUCACACAUACCAUGCAUCACAAGUGAUGGUGAAAAAAGGGUGACAUAUACUGAUGGACGGAUUGUAUUAUUGGACUCUCCAGAAAGAACACUGUCUGUCACAGUUGAUGAAGAUGAUGAUGACGAUGAAGAGACCACAUCUGCUGUGACAGAAGUGGACAAUGCUGGUAGAUCCACUGAGUACAUACCUAGGGAUUUGCCCACUGAUGAGGGUCCUUCAGCCUCAGCACACAAUCUUAGCAGGUUGCCAGCAAAGGAGCUGUAUAAGGUCCAUCUUCAAAAACAAAUAAGAAAAAGUGACAUGGAGAUGGACCUUAUACAGCUUCAAAUGGAAGAGAAAAGGCUCCUCAUUAAAAAAGCAGCACUUGAAAUAGAAUUACUUGAGAAUCGCCUUAAGGAAAUGAAGAAAUAAACUGCCUGGCAGACCAGUGCAAAAAAAACUAAUAAAAGUAAUUUUGACAAA